rnacentral:lncRNA from 1 species
ACCAUAGAGUGAAUCUCAGAACAGGAAGCGGAGGCAUAAGCAGAGAGGAUUCUGGAAAAGGCUCUUUGUUUUCUUAUCCACAGAGAAAGCAAAGAAAAUAAAAUAUUGUAGUUAAUAUAUAAACCUCUGUGGCCAAAAAUCUGAACAACUGCAAGGGAAGGCUCAUUGUACUCUAACCAUCUUGGAUGCGGGCUUUGUUAUGCUGUGAUCCAUAAGGCUCUGUUUUAUCAGGCAAUUCUUAUGCACGAAGCUAGACGUAAUUAAAUGUGCAGGAUGAAAAGAUGGCACAGGCACUGCUGGUACCCCCAGGACCUGAAAGCUUCCGCCUUUUUACCAGAGAAUCUCUCGCUACCAUUGAAAAACGUGCUGCAGAAGAGAAAGCCAAGAAGCCCAAGAGAGAACAAGACACUGAUGAUGACAACAAGCCAAAGCCAAACAGUGAUUUGGAAGCUGGGAAGAACCUUCCAUUUAUUUAUGGAGACAUCCCUCCAGGCAUGGUUUCAGAGCCACUGGAGGACCUGGACCCGUACUACAUUAGUAAGAAA